AUUGAACGCUGGCGGCAGGCCUAACACAUGCAAGUCGAGCGGAUGAAGGGAGCUUGCUCCUGGAUUCAGCGGCGGACGGGUGAGUAAUGCCUAGGAAUCUGCCUGGUAGUGGGGGAUAACGUCCGGAAACGGGCGCUAAUACCGCAUACGUCCUGAGGGAGAAAGUGGGGGAUCUUCGGACCUCACGCUAUCAGAUGAGCCUAGGUCGGAUUAGCUAGUUGGUGGGGUAAAGGCCUACCAAGGCGACGAUCCGUAACUGGUCUGAGAGGAUGAUCAGUCACCCUGGAAAUGGGACACCGGCCAGACUCCUAAGGGGGGGAGCAGUGGGGAAUUUUGGGAAAUGGGGGAAAGCCUUACCCAGCCCGGGCGGGGGGGGGAAAAAGGUCUUGGGAUUGGAAAACCAUUUUAUUUGGGGAGAAGGGGUGUAAAUUUAAUCCUGUGCUUUUUGAAGUUACCAAAAAAAAAAGCCCCGGGUAACUUCGGG
rnacentral:rRNA from 1 species